CCUACGGGAGGCUGCAGUAGGGAAUCUUCCACAAUGGGCGAAAGCCUGAUGGAGCAACGCCGCGUGGGUGAAGAAGGUCUUCGGAUCGUAAAACCCUGUUGUUAGAGAAGAAAGUGCGUGAGAGUAACUGUUCACGUUUCGACGGUAUCUAACCAGAAAGCCACGGCUAACUACGUGCCAGCAGCCGCGGUAAUACGUAGGUGGCAAGCGUUAUCCGGAUUUAUUGGGCGUAAGGGGAACGCAGGCGGUCUUUUAAGUCUGAUGUGAAAGCCUUCGGCUUAACCGGAGUAGUGCAUUGGAAACUGGGAGACGUGAGUGCAGAAGAGGAGAGUGGAACGCCAUGUGUAGCGGUGAAAUGCGUAGAUAUAUGGAAGAACACCAGUGGCGAAAGCGGCUCUCUGGUCUGUAACUGACGCUGAGGUUCGAAAGCGUGGGUAGCAAACAGGAUUAGAUACCCCGGUAGUC
rnacentral:rRNA from 1 species